ensembl:snRNA U6 U6 spliceosomal RNA
GUGCUUGCUUCAGCAGCACGUAUACUAAAAUUGGAAUGAUACAGAGAUUAGCAUGGCCUCUUGCACAAGAAUGACACACAAAUUCAUAAAGUGUUUCAUAUUUUU